UAAUUGAAACCAAAUAGAGGUUUAUCAUUGUUAAUGAUAAAAUUGAAUUAAACUAUUCCAAUUAAGA
rnacentral:tRNA from 1 species